GACGAACGCUGGCGGCGUGCUUAACACAUGCAAGUCGAACGGUGAAGCGCCUUCCUUUUUGGUGGGUGUGGAUGAGUGGCGAACGGGUGAGUAACACGUGAGUAACCUGCCCCCUUCUUCUGGAUAACCGCAUGAAAGUGUGGCUAAUACGGGAUAUUCUGGGUCUGUCGCAUGAUGGGUCUGGGAAAGAUAUUGUUUCGGUGGGGGAUGGGCUCGCGGCCUAUCAGCUUGUUGGUGGGGUGAUGGCCUACCAAGGCGGUGACGGGUAGCCGGCCUGAGAGGGUGGACGGUCACACUGGGGCUGAGACACGGCCCAGACUCCUACGGGAGGCAGCGGUGGGGAAUAUUGCACAAUGGGCGCAAGCCUGAUGCAGCGACGCCGCGUGAGGGAUGGAGGCCUUCGGGUUGUGAACCUCUUUCGCCAGUGAAGCAGGCCUGCCUCGUUUGUGGGUGGGUUGACGGUAGCUGGAUAAGAAGCGCCGGCUAACUACGUG
rnacentral:rRNA from 1 species